CCCCAAAACAAUCAAAUAUCUGUACCGCAAAAUACAAAAAUGUCAUUUUUAUGACUUCUCCGUGUGAAAAUUACAAAACAAUCGUAGAUGGUCGAAAGAACAGCACGGCGAGAUGAACCGCACGCUAAAAUCACUUGGCUAGACUAAAACAAAUCGGAAAACCCGGGCUCGCAUGAAGUUGUGGUCUUAUUCAACUAGCGCCACCUGGCAAAUUUAUUCUCAAUCUAAUUGGACACAAUCAAAGUCUAAUAUUGAAAGGACUUUAUCUGGAUCACCCAAGAAUGUUAUAAGCCAAUUUUAUAACAAUAAAAACUUAAUUACACCUGCAAUAA